AACCUAUCCUCAGUGGCCGACCCAAUAAUCCCUGUAACAAAGGUUUAUUACUUAAGAGCACUAUUCACAGAGAUAGCAAAACAAAUCAUAUUCUUCUACUCUACCUUCCCAUCCAUGGCGUGUUUUGCAGAAAGAGCAUCGUCUUUGUCAGCAAAAUCAACAAAACCGAAUCCUCUUGAUCUCCCAGUUCCCUUGUCGCAAUGGAUACACAACAAAAGUCCAAGCCAAAUGUUCAUUUUGGCAUUUCGUCGAACACCUGGAGGAGUUUAAAGAUAACAAACCAAAAACACUUACCCUCUUCCACCUCUCCGAAGGAAGAGAAUGCGUCUUUCAGAGAUUGUUCGUCCACCGAGUACGAUAACCCUGCAUGCGGCUUGGAACUAGGCGAUGCAGAAGAAGAAGAGGAGCAAAAGCGAGGAAGAACAUGGAAGCUAGAAGGAAUCGAGUGUUGAGGUAUCGCUAUAACUCGUCUCACAAGCAUCUCAAUACUAUACCUCAUGAUCAAAGUGACAAAAAAAAACUUCUAAAAAAUGAGUUUUUGUUUGGGAAAAUUAGAAAAAUGUAAAACUUUCAAAAUUUUAUUUGUCACUAUAGUACUUGUGGUAUUU